AAUCAGUACGGAUGAUUGUUUAGCCUGUCAAACAAGUUUUCAAUAACGUUUCACGUCUUUCCAUUAUUUGUUUUUGAACAUUAUUUAAAAGUUUGCAAUGAGGUGGUUGUGCUUCUGGAUAUAAGUGUUACAUUUGGUCUUCCUUGGUGGAAGUGUUUUGUCUGACAGCUGAUGGUUUCGUAUAAUAUAGUCUACUUUAACUAGACUGGAGAGAAGACACAUGCAACUAUUUGGCAUCAGAUUAUAGCAAUUGGUGGUGUAUUUCAAACUUUUGAUGAAGGAUGACAGAAAGGUGGACUUUUAUAGUCUUGUUUGUUUUUUAACUGCUUGAGUGGCUGGGUAAAACAAAUGGUUUGUAUGGCAUGGCUGAACAGAAUAGACUGGCUGUCUCGUCAGCAGACAUCUUUACAUGUACUAAACUGGUACCUGAAAAUUACUGAGAUAAUAUGCACACAUGAAUCAAGGUGUGGAAUAAAUCUGUCAGAAAAAAUUGGACUUCAAGUUAUAGCUCAGCUCUUCAAACGUUUUUGAAGUAGAACUGUUUUAUUACAACAACAUUGACAAAAUAAUUAUUAGAUUUUUAGCUCAAAUAUUUGAAGAAUAUGGAGAGCUAUACUACUCACCCUGGUGUUGGGCCUGGUCAGAGUCUUUACCAAAUGGUAAUAUCUUGUAUACCAUCAAAGAUAUUUACUUCAUACUUGGAACAAUAUUUUAUUAUAACUGUCUCUACCACUUGGCAAGAGUAACUCUGAAUUAUUGUUCGUUUUGAUAUUGGAAAUUUGUUAAGAUUUUGUACAAGUUCAUGUUUUGUAAAAACUAUUUGACAUGUGGCUUUGAAACUUUGAACACUUGGUUAUUAUAUAAAUAUCUACUUGUAUGCAAGAGUACAUAACUCUGUCAAGUAUUUUAGCUAAAUUAUGGCCCUUUCUGGACUUGGAAAUUGGUUCAGCUUUCGUACAAGUCAACGUUAUGUCGAACUAUUUGGCGUGUGGCUUUGAAACUUUUAACGCUUGUUUAUUGUUAUAAUCUUCCUCUGUAGGCAAAAGUAUACCCUUUUAUACAACUCUUUUAGCUGAAUUAUGGCCCUUUUUGGACUUGGAAAUCAGUUAAAAUUUUCAUACUAGUCCAUAUUUUGCCUAACCUGUUUGUCAACAUUGAUCACUUGUUAGCUCGACUAUUUGAAGAAUAGUCUAGCUAUUCUACUCACCCUGGUGUCGGCAUCGAUCGGCGUUGCGUUACCGUCUGCGUCACACCUUUGCACGCAAGUACAUACAGCUAUCAUUUAAAGGCAUAUAGCUUUGAAAUUUAUUUUUUCUUUUUCUAGGUCAAUUACCAACCUCA
rnacentral:lncRNA from 1 species